AAGASCUUGCGCUUUUGGAGCGGCCGAUGCCUGAUUAGCUUGUUGGUAAGGUAAAAGCUUACCAAGGCUUCGAUCAGUAGCUGGUCUGAGAGGACGACCAGCCACACUGGGACUGAGACACGGCCCAGACUCCUACGGGAGGCAGCAGUGGGGAAUUUUGGACAAUGGGGGCAACCCUGAUCCAGCCAUGCCGCGUGAGUGAAGAAGGCCUUCGGGUUGUAAAGCUCUUUCAGCCGGAACGAAACGGUUACGGUUAACACCCGUGACUACUGACGGUACCGGAAGAAGAAGCACCGGCUAACUACGUGCCAGCAGCCGCGGUAAUACGUAGGGUGCGAGCGUUAAUCGGAAUUACUGGGCGUAAAGCGUGCGCAGGUGGUUUUGUAAGUCAGAUGUGAAAGCCCCGGGCUCAACCUGGGAACU
rnacentral:rRNA from 1 species